GUGACAUCACUCCACAAGCCCCUCUCUGAAGUAGCCAAGAGUCUGAGCUGCUGCUGAGCUAAGUGAUGCUGUGGACCGUAGGCUCCUCUGUGGGAUUCUGUGCUGUUGGACCCAUGUGCUCUUCCUGUGUAGCCUUGCUCACUACAGGAAUCAGAAGUCACUGAGUACCCCUCAGCAGUCUGCGACGGUAUUGGUCAUCACAUCUAUCAAGCCACUGAUCUUGUUACCCAGAAAAGAAUACCCAUCUGUCUGCUGAGGGACUCUGCCAACUGAGCAGCUGCAUUAGCAGACUGAAAACGGACCAGUCUCUUGGGCAGGUGAGAGGAAAGAAGAUCUGCCUAUGACUUCCAGUAAAAUUGUGGAUAAAACUUGAUGACAGAAUUUUGUGGUCUUUUCUUAUGAAUUCUUGAUGGGAUUCAUACAAUGGAAGCUUAUAAGAGACUUCAGUCUCGGCAAUUUCUGUGUUUCUCCAGAAUUUUCCUCUGUUCUACUAGACUUGCACAGAGUUUUUCCAUGUGAGUUUCUGAUUCCUUUCCUGUUCUGACCUGAUACAUAGCACCAUGAACACACCAAAUCUUAUGUGAACUGAGACUCGUUAAGAAGUUUUUCCAUGUGGCCUUUGAAUUCUGAAGAACAUCAAAAGUACCAAGUAAAGAAUAUUCUUAUAUCAUCUCUGCAAGGGUUACGGUACCAGUUUUGUGUUAGUAAGAAAACCAGAGAUGAGAUACCAAGAUAAACCAAAGACUUGUGAAGAAACCAAAAGUAGGAAUUAUUCAAGCUUCCAUUCAGAACUACAUCAUUUUCAACAAUUUAAAAAGAGAAAUAAAGUAUGAAUGCAUUUGAUAAUAACAAUGAA